UGACUUUUUCAGACAAUCUCUCCUCUUCGUAUUUAAAUCGUAUGGUUAAUAUCAUUGCAUCGACUUCCCAACCUGGUCGUGCCACUGUCUGAAGAUCUAUUUAAAUUCUAAGUAGAAUCUGCGAUCUUCGUGGCCCCUCCAUACUCUCUCUACGCUCUUCCCCCGAGAUACUAAGAUAACCAGGGGGAGAAAAAAAAGAAGAUAAGAGCCGGGGAGGAAGGACUUUUAAAUCAGGAUCGUUUAUUAGCAGGGAACCGGUAAUAAACGGUUCCACCGGUUAUCUGAUGAAAAGCCUGGAAAUAGAAGUUUUUCUCGUUUCGACCGGCCGAAGAGGGAAGGGAAAAAAAAAAGAGGGAAGGAAACGAAGGAAGAAGGAAAUCACGUUGAAUUCGCUCCGUUUUUCUUCUCUGUUCGCGCACCACUGAACGUAUAUAUAUAUAUAUAUAUAUAUAUAGAUAAAAAGCUGCCUGUUUAUUGCCUGUUGAGAUACGCGAGGGGAGAAGAGAGACAUCUUAUCAUACAAGAGAGAUGCUUGGUCGGUGCAUUUGGUCAGGAUAAUUAAAGUACACGGCGAGAUUACCACUCGAGCUGGUAAAUGUCACCGGUUGCACAUUGUUGUUCAGGGACAAGUGGCCGAUCUUCUUUCUCUGUUUCUCUUAUUCAAUAUGUAUACAUCUCUCUUUAUCCACAAUCGUCGUAAUCGACGUGACGUGUCUUCAUUCAUGCAGAAUCCAGAACGACGAUCGAUCUCUCGACAUGAGCGAGGCGCGUGGAACUUUCUCUCUCUCUCUCUCUCGUGGAUCAGUCACGCGCGAUAGGAUUCAUGGAAUUUGCACGGGUUACUCGCUCAGAUUCUGCGAUAGAAAUCCGAUGGAAAUAACGGCACUGCUUUUUCCAUCGAUCCAAGUUCUUCCUUUUUCCCGCCUUUCAUUUCUUUUACCUUUGCCCUGUUCCUACUCGUGUUCUUCUCUCUCUCUCUCUCUUUUCUAUUUCUUUCAUAGAGAGAAUGGUUUAACGGUUGCGCGUGUUGUUGGCUUUUCACGAUCGUUUCGAGAAUUUCACGAAAUAAUGAGCUUACUCACGAUUUCCGUGGCUAAAUAUUUUUCGAGAUUUUAAUGGGAGAGAUAUUGUUUCUUUGGGGAUUAUUCGGGGAUUUUUGAAGGGUGGAAUCGAAUCGGCAUUUUGUUUGGAAUUAUUGGAUCGAGAGGAAAUUAAACAUAGGUAUUUGGAAUUAAUGAUAAUUGUUUCAAUUAUUUCUUUAUUGUUAAAAUUGAGGUAAGCAUUUUCGUGCUCGUUUGAUCAUUUAAAAAUGAUAUUUGGUCAAAUAAAAUGACAUUUUUUUUUUCUUUUUAGGAAUAAUGGAGUUUGAACAAUUUUAUAAAAAGUGUAUUUGGUACCCUAUACAUAAGUCGAUAUCUUGGAAGUUCUUUGUGAAUUUGUUAGCGAAGUAUUACGAGAUAUAGUUAAAGCAGUUUGAUGGCAAGGUAACGGUUCUAGGUAAUGUGUAUAAUGCGGCGAAGGAAGAGUGGAAUAAAAAAGGGAAUUAAAGAGCGAAAUGUGAAAGUAACGUGAUGAUCGAAGCGUGGAAGAGCUGUAAUCUCGAAGAGUAUGUUUUAUUUUAUUAUUACGUUCUUUACAAUAGAAAUUAAUAUCAGAGGCAGAGACACACAUAUCUUAUAAAUCAUAAAAUAGGUUUAGAAGAUAAAAUGGAAUUAUAAUUUUGACGAAUAAUUUAGUUAAAAUAAAAGUUGAGUAAGUACGCGUUUAAGAUACAUCUCAUGAAUACUCUGUUUUAUUUAUAUAGAAUUUAAUGCAAUAUCGCGUGUACUUGCGGAAUAAUUCGAAUUACAUUUCUUGUUUAAUCUGAAAUGUACAUCGUUUAGGUAAAAGGGUUAUCGAUUAUUCAUGUAUCAAAUACAGAAUUAUGUAUGGAAUAAUAAUAAAUACGAAGUACUCUACUGAUUCCGUGAUACGAUAGCAAUACGGCAAUGUUCGAGAACGAAUUUAAAGCAAAAUGGCAACUUAUGUUCCCUCGGUGAGAACAAAGUUAUAAAAUUAAAUAACGGAAGGUGUAGCAUUACGGAAGCGUUACGAUUUCCAUGGAGGUGGCUGUGAGUAGAUAACGUUAUUACACCCAAGCAAUAUAACGCCUUCAGAGAGAUAAAAGGAAUAACUGCAUUAUAUAGCGCUAUAACUUGCGAUUAAAGUUGUUGAUUACUUAGGCGAGCCAACUAUGCAAAAUUAACAAGUCUAUCCUGGUUUACUUCCACGUCUAUUUGAUAUUCUCUUUAUUUUAGGUAUCUUUUACGAAAGUUUUCUAGUUUCAGAAAAGACGAAUGAAUAAAUUGCGUUAAAUAAGAGAGAAGAUAAAUUAAACAAAUUAUAAUAAAAUAAGAUAUAAAGUCUUAAUAUUUUUAACCAACUGUAAAUUAUCUCGUAAACUUUACUCGUUUUUACUCAAAAAUCUUAGAAACAUAGACUGUGGAUGUAAAUCCUCUUAGAAAAAUCUUAAGACGUAGCUUAAAAAUAAAAAAAAAAAGAAGAUAGAAGAAAAAUUAGAAGACACCGUUUCCAUCUCUAAAAAAGGCACAGCCAUCAAACUAUCCUCCCUUUACUUUCCUCCCUUUCUUUCUUCUCCUUUUACGUUCUUCUUCUUGAAGGUGGUUAUAAAUAAUUCGAGGACUUAUUAAACGCCUUUUUUAACGACUUCAAAGAAAAAGGCGACAAUAAAACCAAGGUGAAACGAUAAACCACCCUCGUUCGAAGCAAAGGGGAAUAAAUAAAUAAACCAGGUGGGAAAGAUAUAAAGGAAACGGUGUGAAAGAAGGUGAAAUAAAAUCUCGUGCAGAUUUGACGGGGAUAAGUACACGCGAAACGUGGAACGUGCAGCCUUUGGAAGGGGUGGUAUUUUAGUCCUCGCGCGGUUUCCCUCCCCCGAGGGAGAGGUUUAAUCGAGGAACAAGGUUACAACCUGUAGAUUCGUAAAAUACACCUUCAAGGUAUCCCGUGCACGUUCGCGUUCCAUUAAGAUUUUUUAAACGUCUCUGACGUGGAAUAAAUAAAAGAAAAAUAGGUGGAAAGUGGGUGGAAAGAGGAGAGGAGAAUAUCGUUGGAAUGGGAAAAGUAUUGACUUACUCGUGAAAAAACGGUAUUUGAAAAAUGAAAAUAUGGAAAGUAUAUUGAGAGAAUAUUUUUUUAUUAUGGAGAGAAUAAAUUAUUAUAAUUGGAAGAGAUUACGUAUUGAUGUAAUUAUGGUAAAGAGAAUAAGAGAAUGGGGUGAGUCAUUGUUAUUCCAAACUACCAAGACUUCAAUCUUCUAUUUGGUAAUGUUAAUACUCUUUCAAUUUAAAACAAUUUUCAAAAUCAACCGUCAUAUUCAUUGUAUAAAAAAACUCCAUCAAUAUCGACGGUUUAUGCUCGAUUAAUUAUUCCUCUUUUAAUUACGUUUCGACCGUGUACUACCACAAACACCACGAGUACACUUGAAUAAAGCAUGAAACGCGAUUUUUACGGGACGACACGCUACAAGAACUAGCCGUGUGUUUGCAUAAGCGUUUAUACGCAGAAGCUCGGGUAAAAAGUACGAAUUUUCAUUUUAAUUUUACAUAUCGUCCAUCGUGGUGCAGACACCUCAUAGUAUAAUUAAAAUCAUGUUUGGGGAUGAUUAAUAUUGUAUAUCGCGUUCUGAAACGCGAUUUUAGGCAUGGAAAAUUUUGACAAUACAUUCGUGGCCUGUUUUAAUUAAAAAUGAAAGCGGAUUUAUAGUCGAUUCGUCGAUGAUUUAUCUUGCUCUACGCUCCAUUGAUAUUUAUUGUCGGUCUUAAAAUCAUUGUGAGGUAGGUCUAUGUUUUUUUGGUAUAUAUAUAUCAUAUUUAACUUCUGAAUUAAUGAAUGCAGGGUUUGUUUUGGGGAACAAGUAUAAUAUAAACGUAUAAAAUCAAAGUGAUUGAUUCGAGAAAUUAAUUUUGGAUUUUUUAGUGGAAGCUCGUUGAGAUUGAAAUUUAUAUAUUUCAUAUUUUAUUCGA